rnacentral:rRNA from 1 species
GAGGAUGUUUCUGGCGCGGUGCCUUCCGAGUUCCCUGGAACGGGACGCCACAGAGGGUGAGAGCCCCGUAUGGUCGGACACCAAGCCUGUGUGAAACUCCUUCAACGAGUCGAGUAGUUUGGUAAUGCUGCUCUAAAUGGGAGGUAAAUCUCUUCUAAAGCUAAAUACCGGCCAUAGACCGAUAGCGCACAAGUAGAGUGAUCGAAAGAUGAAAAGCACCUUGAAAAGGGGGUUAAAUAGUACNUGAAAUUGUUGAAAGGGAAGCACUUAUGACCAGACUUGGGCCGGGCGGCUCAUCAGGGGUUCUCCCCUGUGCACUCCGCCCGGU